rnacentral:rRNA from 1 species
CCUACGGGUGGCAGCAGUGGGGAAUAUUGCGCAAUGGGCGAAAGCCUGACGCAGCGACGCCGCGUGAGGGAUGAAGGUCUUCGGAUCGUAAACCUCUGUCAGCAGGGAAGAACGGUCACUGUGCUAAUCAGCAGUGAAUUGACGGUACCUGCAAAGGAAGCACCGGCUAACUCCGUGCCAGCAGCCGGGGUCAUACGGCGGGUGCGCGCGUUAAUCGGAAUUACGGGGCGUAAGGGGCUCGUAGGCGGUAUGUCAAGUCAAGGGUGAAAUCCCCGCGCUCAACGUGGGAACUGCCUUUGAAACGGGCAAACUGGAGUGUGUGAGAGGAUAGUGGAAUUCCAGGUGUAGGAGUGAAAUCCGGAGAUAUCUGGAGGAACAUCAGUGGCGAAGGCGACUAUCUGGCACAUAACUGACGCUGAGGAGCGAAAGCGUGGGUAGCAAACAGGAUUAGAUACCCCAGUAGUC